rnacentral:lncRNA from 1 species
CUAAUUAUCUUAAUUUAAUAAUAAUUUGAAGUAUCUAAACAUGGCUUUUAUAAAAAACCUCUUAGAUUGUUUUCUUAUCUUAAUAGUUAGUAGGUUGAAGGUUAGUUAGUAAUUUUACCUUCUAAGCUAUCGAGAUUCUUUUAUUACUUUAGAAAGAUCAUAAAUUGAUAAAAUCAAAUUAAAAGAGAUAAAUAAUUAAUAUAAUUGAUACUAAGAUUAAGUCGAGGAUAGGAUUAGAGUAAAAAAUCCUUAAGAUAUGUUAUAUUGAUACUUAAGGAUCGACCAUUUGUGAGAUAGGAUUAAAAU